rnacentral:rRNA from 1 species
UACAGAGGUCUCGAGCGUUGUUCGGAUUCAUUGGGCGUAAAGGGCGCGUAGGCGGCGGGGUAAGUCUGGUGUGAAAUCUCGGGAGCUCAACUCCGAAAUUGCACUGGAUACUGCUCUGCUAGAGGGCUGGAGAGGAGAUCGGAAUUCACGGUGUAGCAGUGAAAUGCGUAGAUAUCGUGAGGAAGACCAGUGGCGAAGGCGGAUCUCUGGACAGCUCCUGACGCUGAGGCGCGAAGGCUAGGGGAGCAAACGGG